rnacentral:rRNA from 1 species
UUAUACUGGCAGCUGAGAUCGGGCAGGGAGCCGAAACGGUGCUGUCUCAGAUAUGUGCCGAAGCUCUGGGGAUUCCCCUUAAUAGAGUGCGCAUCAGAACAGAGGAUACCGAUAUAAGCCCCAUAGACUUGGGGGCGUAUUCUUCGCGGACCACUCUGAUGGGAGGGAACGCCGUGGCACGGGCAGCUAAAGAUGUUCUGAAAAAACUUUUUGAAACGGCUUCAGCUGUACUGGAAUGUGAACCCCACGAUCUGGAAGCGAAAAAAAGCCUUAUUUUCUGUAAAGAUAAUCCGUCAAGAGCGAUGGAUUGGUCAGAAGCCGCUCGAAAAUACUUUAAUGACAAAGGGCCGCUUUUGGGAACCGGCUGGUAUAAGCCCCCGGAAGGGCUGGGCGGAGAUUAUAAGGGUGCAGCCGUAGGGACCAGCCCGGCAUAUUCUUUUUCGAGUGCGGUCU